CGCUAUCACUCCUACGGGGAGGCAGCAGUGGGGAAUAUUGCACAAUGGGGGAAACCCUGAUGCAGCCAUGCCGCGUGUGUGAAGAAGGCUUCGGGUUGUAAAGCACUUUCAGUAGGGAGGAAGGUAGUGUAGUUAACACCUGCAUUAUUUGACGUUACCUACAGAAGAAGCACCGGCUAACUCCGUGCCAGCAGCCGCGGUAAUACGGAGGGUGCGAGCGUUAAUCGGAAUUACUGGGCGUAAAGCGCAUGCAGGCGGCCUGUUAAGUCAGAUGUGAAAGCCCGGGGCUUAACCUCGGAAUUGCAUUUGAAACUGGCAGGCUAGAGUCUUGUAGAGGGGGGUAGGAAUUUCAGGUGUAGCGGUGAAAUGCGUAGAGAUCUGAAGGAAUACCAGUGGCGAAGGCGGCCCCCUCGGACAAAGACUGACGCUCAGAUGCGAAAGCGUGGGGAGCAAACAGGAUUAGAUACCCUGGUAG
rnacentral:rRNA from 1 species